GACGAACGCUGGCGGCGUGCUUAACACAUGCAAGUCGAACGGAGAGGCGCCGAGUUUGUGGCGUGGACGAGUGGCGAACGGGUGAGUAACACGCGAGCAAACUCCCCCUGACUGUGGGAUAAAACCUGGAAACAGCGGCUAAUACAGGAUAGAAGAUAUUGCAGCAUGGGGAUCAUUAGUAAAAUACGGCGGUGGGGGAUGGUAUAGAGGCAUAUCAGCUUGUUGGGGAGGUAGUGGAUGACCAAGGCUACGACGGGUAGCCGGCCUGGGAGGGCGACCGGCCACACUGGGACUAAGGGACGGCCCAGACGCCUACGGGAGGCAGCGGUGGGAAACAUUACACAAUGGGCGAAAGUCUGAGGCAGCGACGCCGGGUGCGGGAUACCGGCCUUCGGGUGAUAAACCUCUUUCUGCGGGGAAGAAGAGGAAGUGACGGUACCUGCACAAGAAGCAACGGCUAACUACGUG
rnacentral:rRNA from 1 species